UCAAGCAAUGCACACGAAUAAACAAUAAAAAUGCAACUAUAUUACUAUACAACUAAAUUUUUUGUGCACUAAUCUCACAUUGUCCCCACUACCAUAGAAAUUCAGUCCAAUUUGCCUCAGCGAAUUUUUUUUAUUUUAGAUUUAAGAAUACAGAUUCAAAUCAAACUGCAGGCAUAAUGUCAUACACUCAGAUAAUUCAAAUAUAAUAUAGAGAUGUUGUGUGUGUGUGUGUUGUGUUUUCUAAAACUUGAUUUAGGCACAGAAUACUCAUGCUAUAUUGCUCAAACAGAAAAUUAUAGUUAAAAUCAAGACUUAUGUAUAUGUAUGCAACCAAGACUAUUCCAACAUCUUAAAAUAAACUAAGGUUCAACAAUGGGUUUAACUGCUUUAUUUCUACCUACGAGGGCGACUUUCGCACUUUCCCGCGGUGUUUAUUUCCAUUUUUCUUUUCUUUUCUUUUUUUUUUCUUCAUGACUGUGCAAUGUCUUACU
rnacentral:lncRNA from 1 species